rnacentral:rRNA from 1 species
UACGUAGGGACCAAGCGUUGUUCGGAUUUACUGGGCGUAAAGGGCGCGUAGGCGGCAUGACAAGUCACUUGUGAAAUCUCCGGGCUUAACUCGGAACGGUCAAGUGAUACUGUCGCGCUAGAGUGCGGAAGGGGCAAUCAGAAUUCUUGGUGUAGCGGUGAAAUGCGUAGAUAUCAGGAGGAACACCGGUGGCGAAGGCGGGUCUCUGGGCCGAUACUGACGCUGAGGAGCGAAAGCGUGGGGAGCGAACAGG